GCUCGAUAUGCCGGAUUUAAUUUAAAAAAAAAAAAAUUAUUUAUAAAUACUCAUCAUAUUGUUUUCCGCAAAAGUCCAAAACUCCAGCUAUAUUGAGAGAGGUUAUUCAAAAAUUUCGAUUCGUGGGUUUUAAAUUUCCAAAUUAGGGUUAACCCAGUCCAAGCUCCCUGUGAUAUCCCGUAGGUUUAGGAAAAGACAGGAAAAGAAAAGGAGGAAAAAAAAAACCGAGAAAGAAGAAUCAGAGCAAGAACGAGAGAGCUGAUUUUGGGUUUUUGUCAAAAAGGCUGCGAAUUGGGUAUUUCUGGAUUUGAGGGUUUAGAUUGAUUUUCAGAAGCGAAGACGAACAAUCGGGAGUUUGGUUUUCUGCUGUUGAUCAGAUUUGUAGAAAGGCAAAAGGGGAGAAAGUGGAGGGCUUUGUUUUGGGUUGUUUACUGUCUUUGAUUGCCUUGCCUUACCGUCUUUACACUCUCCCCGUCUCACCGAAGCUAAACGAUGUCGUACGACGACGUGGAGAUCGAAGAUAUGGUGUGGAACGACGAGCUCCAGGCGUACACAUACCCAUGCCCAUGCGGAGACUUGUUCCAGAUCACCAAGGAAGACCUGAAAUUGGGGGAAGAGAUCGCUCGGUGCCCUAGUUGUACUCUCUACAUCACCGUCGUUUACAACAUCGAAGAUUUCAUGGAUAAGAAACCCACCAAACCCUUCGAGCCCUCCAAGCAACAAUCCCUCACCGUCGCUUAGGAUUUCAGAUGGCCUUGUAUGGAGGAGGUGGCCAAGUGGUGGAAGGAUUCUUCCCAAGUUUUGUUAGAUUUUUACUCAAUAUUAAGUGUGCAAGUUAGGAGUGGGAAAUUUUGUAUUCAACAUGAAAAGGAAUAGAUUUGAGAUACAUGGACGGUAUUCUUAUAAUAAUUAUUGAGCUUAACCUAGCUUAACCUUAUUGAUUGACAUAUAUUUACUGAAUACAUGUACGUAAUGUGAUGCCAAUAUAAGAAAGGUAUCACUUUAGUCACUA